rnacentral:tRNA from 1 species
GAGGGUAUAGCUCAGUGGUAAAGCAUGUGCUUAGCAUACAUGAGGUUCUGGGUUCAAUCCUCAGUACCUCCU